rnacentral:rRNA from 1 species
UACGUAGGGCGCAAGCGUUGUCCGGAAUUAUUGGGCGUAAAGAGCUCGUAGGCGGCUUGUCACGUCGGUUGUGAAAGCCCGGGGCUUAACCCCGGGUCUGCAGUCGAUACGGGCUAGCUAGAGUGUGGUAGGGGGAGAUCGGAAUUCCUGGUGUAGCGGUGAAAAUGCGCAGAUAUCAGGAGGAACACCGGUGGCGAAGGCGGAUCUCUGGGCCAUUACUGACGCUGAGGAGCGAAAGCGUGGGGGAGCGAACAGG